ACCAAUUCCGGACACAAUCUCAGCACUGUGGGAGACUGAGGCACCUGCCAAACCUGCACAGAUUCCUACAGCAGCCAGUUCGCUCUGUCUCGAGGCUUCAGAGGAACACGAACUUCUCUGAUGGAAGAGCCUUGUUCUAGAAGGGAGUGAAGCCUAGGUCUUUCCUGAGCACACAGAAGAUCAAGACCACACUCACUGACUUCUCAUAGUCAAGCAAUUUUGGCCAAUUAAAUGUCAGUUGGAAACUCCUGUGUCAGCUUCUCUGUGGCGGUGAGAAGUCCCUGUGUGACAUCCCAACUCUCCCCUCACCUGCGUUGGCAACCAAGAAAGCCUUGUGUUGGAGGUGGGGCCACAAGUUUAAAGCUAAGUUACCACCUCGAGGGCACAUUCCUGGAGAGCUUCCCAGGCCCACAGUGGCACGUGUAUGAGUGACAGAUCCACUUCUUUAUUACCUUUUUGAAGAACAGGAACCUUUGUCUGGAAAUUCCACAAGUAUGCCUUUUGCAAGAUUAAAAGUGCCACAAAGAACAAAAAUGAGCCCAGGACCAGAUGCAUGUUAAAAGCCAUCAGACACGUUAAGUUUCAUCUCCAUUGACCUGCAGAAGGAGUCUCUCACCACAGCCACCACAUCUAUGCAUGUGCUGAGUCACAUGUGAAGCCAGCACAUCUCAGAGUCUCACCGAAAGCUCAUGGUGAGACAAAGAGACUAGAAGGGGUAGAGUCAGCUAACUUCUCUCCUCCCACCACUGAUGAGGUUUUGGUGAAUUCUCUUCCCUUGCUCACUUGCAGAUUCAGCAGAGUUGUCUAUAGUGGCUUAAUUGGAAUUGCUGGACAAGAACAUUGAUUCUGCUUCACUCAGGUAAAGAUGAAAGUAACUGCAACAAUGGAUAUUGCAUUUGAAGGUCAUUGAGUUGUAGUCAGGCAAGGGGAGCAGAUAUUAAAACAUACACGCACAAAAUAAUGGGAUUUUUAUUUAGCAUCUCGCAAGUCUUGAGUAACAUAGUAUUAAUUGACCUUGAGAUUUCAUUCUUUUGUGACUCAUUGCAUUUGCUUUUGUGUUUCAGAUUAAUAUAGAAUAUUUUAAAGAAAGAGUAAUACAGCCAAUUUUAAUCUCUGGGAAGUUUAUGCAAGACAUAAUUUAUUUGUAAACUUUAUAAUAAUAUGUGAAUUAAAGACCCUUGUUAGUUUGGUAUGAAUCUGACAUAAGGGCUAAAAUCACUUUUUCAUUAGCCUUCUCCUGAUCUCAGGUUUACACCUAAGAGAUUCUUCACUCCAAAGUCUUCAUUUCCAAGCACAACCUGCUGGGUGCUGCGCUUUUCUGAGGUCUCCUCCCCAGCUCUGCAUCUAGCAGUGCUCAUGAUGCAAUGAUUUCCUGUCUGACUAUCCCAUUCCUAUCCUUUGCAAAGUUCACAUAGACCCAUUUGAGUACACUUUUAGUAGCAUACCAAGUUUAAGUGCCAAAGUUGUGUUUUAGUUCUUUCAUCCAGAAAGAAAACAUCAGCUGUUUCAAAUUUUAGAGUCCAGCUUGGGCAACAAGAGAAUUGUCAUGUCGUCGAUUGUGUAGUAAGACACAGUGAGUGUCCAGCAAUGUAAAAUCAGUCUAUAAAUGAGAAGAUUAAGACCAAAAGCAUCGGGUUACAAACAUCUCACUAAAGCCCAUUAGCAGGCAGAGAGCUCUCCGCGGAGCUAGAAAAUGAGACUUUUCCCUCCUUUCUGCCCCAUACAUUAGUGCUGAUCUCAGGAGCUCAUUUUUGCACCCUUUGUGGCAGACAACCAUAUAAUCAAAGGGUUCCCAUCACUAAAUCAUUUGAAAAGACAAGUAGAAAUUAGCUUUAGCUAAUUUAACUAGCCUUUGCCCCUCCUCCUGACCCUGAGGGUGAAGCACAUUUUAUCAUUCAUCCUCUGGGGGCUGGCUUAUGCUGGCUCCCUUUCCUUUGGCAGUGAUUUUAAGCAACCAAGUUCUUAUUACAAUUCUCAAAUUUAAAAUUAAGUUCUGAUCACAUCUUCUCAGGGCAUACCUAAGAGGCAGUGUUUAUCCCCAGCCAAAUCAAUUGUUUCCUCAAGUGACUCAUUCCUGAAAAUGUUAUUGUUUCUAAUAACCAGCUCAAAUAUGUAUUUUCAUUAAUCUUUUCUUUUACCUCCAUUUCACACGUGUUGCUGCAUGUCAGGCAGUUUCCACAAGGAUCUGCCAUGACAUCAUUGUGUGAGGUAUGAAAAAAAAAUUUUUUUUUUUCUAAUUUAAGAAUUACUUUUACUCAGAUGGUGGCUGGGCUGGGAAAUGUUCCCCAUUGCCCUGGGAGUUUUAGGCCAAGGCUUGUGUGUGUGUGUGUGUGUGUGUGUGUGUUGGAAGGGUCUCUCAUUGCCUAUUUCUGCUUAUAUAACACACACUGGUUUAGGUAGGUGGAGUCAGAAUGGGAAGAGGAAGUUCCCUAAGUGUUUCUUGCAUGCAAAGGUAAGUGGAGAAUGCCCAUCUGGGCACACAGGGCAAGGAUGCAGUGGAGUGACCUCUCCUUUCCCCUCCAACUCACAUGCUGGAGUUUAAAAACUGUAUCAGGAUGACAGAAACCAAGGGGUAAGACCACGGCUUCCUCUGGGGAUCUUCUAUAAACUGUAAGAACAAACACAGGUAUUUUGUAGUUCUUUAUCACAACGGGUCCUUUGCUGAUGAUUCUAGGUUUUAUGACUGCUGUUUUAUGUCCUACAAAUAGUAACAGGCAUUUCCCUUUGCCCUACACCACAGUAAGCCACUGGCCUAGACAAGAAGCAACUCUGCACUGCUUUUCAAACAUCAUCCUCCCUCUCGACCGCAGGGACUAUUUGGUUUCUAUUCUACUUCUGGCCUUUCAUAUUCCUGAUGGUGCAUUGGAUGAAACCCCGCAGCCAGGCGUGUGAACGUGGUUGAAAAGACCCAUGGAGGACCAGCAACGCUUCCCCACAGCGUGGGAUGGUCCCCUCCUGAGAUGGCCCACUGUCAGCGGGACUGACGCCAAGCACUGCAUCCUGUCUGCUUCUUGAACAGCCCCUUCAUUGUUUGUUCAGCUAUUCUGCUGCAUCUGCAGAUAGCCCUGCCUGAGAAACAGCCUCAAACCAGAAGGAGAGGAUGGCGGCAAGCCUUAGAGAAACAUAGCCAGUUGGAGUGUGAGGCUUCAGAAUCGCCUUCCAACUCUCUGUGCACUGCACCAGCUGCUUCCCAUAGACUCCUGGUAAAAUAUAGAGCGGAAGGAAGAAGAGCCACUACCCAUAACAUCAGUGGCUGCUAACUAAGGAGUGUUUUGACAUGCUGGUACAGCCUAUCCUCAGCUUUCCAGAAGGUGGAAUCUUGUGAUAGUGGAAAGAAGUAGAAGAGAUGAAGUACCUAUGACUCCAGGAUUUGCCAGUGAAAGAAGUCAACAAUAUUUUAACUUUGAUCUUAACCAAAAGGCCAAGAAGUGAUGCUAAUAUUUUCAUAUACUACGACAGUUGCAGACACACGUCUAUCAUAGCUGGGUAGUAAUCCAGGCAACUCUGCCACAAGUCAUGGGCUCAGCCACCAGUCCACGAAGUCUCCAGUCACACAUAUUGCUUCGGACUAUUCUCUAUCCCCAGUUGUCAAUUAACUAAAAUAUUAAAUGAGGAUGCCAUGGAGUCCCCCAACUGAUUUCAUAAAUUUGGUGUCACAUUGUAAAUCAAGCAGCUGCAGAGUGGCUGGGACAUCUGUUUGGUUCUGUUAUUCUCUUUACUCCAAAAGGAAACUAACUCCAAAAGAAGAAAACCUGAUGUCUGAGCUGAAUCCUAAUCAUGAAGAUGUUUUUCCACCAUUCCUGUCUGUGUUUUUCUACCAUUCCUGUCUGUGUUUUUCUACCAAAGUGUGCUCUUGAAGUUCUGCAUUUCCCAGGGUGUGGUGAAAGAAGAGAAAAAAAUGUCCAAGAUGACUUCAACGUUCUGACCUUGAGUGGCUUGAGUGAAUGGAGUUACAACUGUGCAGAAAGAUUCAGUAGAGAGUUUUGGAUUUAUGCACCAGUAAGGGGAAAACUGAACAGCUGCAGAGAGCUGUAACUUUUAUAGGAGAUUAAUCUAUAAGAGAAGACAGCAAACUACAGCCUGUGUGUCAAAUCCUACUUGCCACGUCCACUGAAAGCUAACUACACUGGAACACUCUCAUUUCUGCAAAGAAAAAUAUCAUAUCCCAGGAUGAAAAGGAGGAGGAAGAGGAAAGGCUAACUUAACAAGAAGCUCUUUGACAUUCUUGAAUUAGACACCCAACGUAGUCCACGCAGUACGGAGGAUGACUUCAGAAGUGCAAUUCUGAUAUGGACUUUGUCUCCCUAAGGCUUUCAGUUCCUCAUAUUUAGGAUAAAACAGAAGUUUAUGUAAAGCCAAGGGAGAGGGUCACCGGGAGAGGGAAGGAGGAACAGCAGAAGGAGAGGUCCACACAUGAAAAUACUUGGAAGCGCCCCAGGGCCUAUCAGAUGCAGGUCUUGGCGGAAAUUACCAAACAUACUUUAGACAGGCUGCUGUGUUGCUGAGUGUGGACUGGCCUCAGGGCCUGCUGAUCAAAGCAAAAGGAAGCAGUGAAAAAAACAUCACCAUGUCUUCUUAGAGUCUAAUCUGGGGGCAAGAGGCCAGCAUGCACAGUUGGUGCUGAUUUUCUUGGGCGGAUAGAGGAAAGGUGUAGGCGUGGCCAACAUUUGAGCAGCAUGUGGUUCCUCUCACACGCCAUGCUGUUUCCGGCCUCCUUGCAUUUUACUCAUGCCAUCCUCCUGGUCACUUCUUUGAGAUAUUAAGUGCAUUCUUUAGGACUCAGACUCAGCUCAAGGGUCAGUGCAUCCAUGAAGCCUUACCUGGAUCCCAGAGGGAGCUCUGUGCUCCUCCUUUGUCUCCUAUAGGACCCAGUACAUGCGUCCAGUAUUAUCCAUACACACUGAAAUGAUCUAGCAUGUGUCUUCCCAUAGGAUUUCAAAUUCUUAGAAUAUAGGAGUGAUGCCUUCUUCCUACUUAUAUUUCCAGUGUUAACAGUGCCUGUCAAUUGACUUGAAGAUAACUAAAAGUCUGGUUGUUAAGGGCUGCUUCCCACCUCCAAAUACUUCCCUGGAAGUCAUUGUAUGGGCACUGACAUUGGUAGGUCUCCACUGGCUUGUAGAUGCUUCUGAUUAUAAGGUAGUCUCAGAUGCCUUCAGAAAGUUCUAAGACUGUAUAAAACAUUUCCUUCACAACCAAUAACUGUGUAUUAUUGUUCGUGUAAUUCCAGAAGUUAUCCUUUUGAUAGAGAGCAAUUACUUUAUUGAUUGAGAGUUAGCUAAUUAUGUAAUAAAGGUAAAGAUUUGCAUAGAGAA
rnacentral:lncRNA from 1 species